rnacentral:rRNA from 1 species
AUUGAACGCUGGCGGCAUGCCUUACACAUGCAAGUCGAACGGCAGCACGGGUGCUUGCCCCUGGUGGCGAGUGGCGAACGGGUGAGUAAUACAUCGGAACAUGUCCUGUAGUUGGGGAUAGCCCGGCGAAAGCCGGAUUAAUACCGCAUCCGAUCUACGUAUGACAGCGGGGGACCUUCUGGCCUCGCCCUUUCGUGUUGGCCGAUGGCUGAUUAGCUAGUUGGUGGGGUAAAGGCCUACCAAGGCGACGAUCAGUAGCUGGUCUGAGAGGACGACCAGCCACACUGGGACUGAGACACGGCCCAGACUCCUACGGGAGGCAGCAGUGGGGAAUUUUGGACAAUGGGCGAAAGCCUGAUCCAGCAAUGCCGCGUGUGUGAAGAAGGCCUUCGGGUUGUAAAGCACUUUUGUCCGGAAAGAAAUCCUUGGCCCUAAUACGGUCGGGGGAUGACGGUACCGGAAGAAUAAGCACCGGCUAACUACGUG